rfam:Brenneria sp. EniD312 chromosome, whole genome shotgun sequence.
AGUUAAAAAAAGACCGAAUACGAUUCCUGUAUCCGGUCUAGGGAAAUGGCUCUUGGGAGAGAGCCGUGCGCUAAAAGUUGGCAUUUAUACAAGCUGAACAAGCCUUGUCACCUAAGCGUAGCCAACUCCCUUGCAUUUUCCAGUUU